rnacentral:rRNA from 1 species
GAUGAACGCUGGCGGCGUGCCUAAUACAUGCAAGUCGAGCGAACGGACGAGAAGCUUGCUUCUCUGAUGUUAGCGGCGGACGGGUGAGUAACACGUGGAUAACCUACCUAUAAGACUGGGAUAACUUCGGGAAACCGGAGCUAAUACCGGAUGAUAUUUUGAACCGCAUGGUUCAAAAGUGAAAGACGGUCUUGCUGUCACUUAUAGAUGGAUCCGCGCUGCAUUAGCUAGUUGGUAAGGUAACGGCUUACCAAGGCAACGAUGCAUAGCCGACCUGAGAGGGGGUGCGGCCCCGCGGGAACGGAGACCCGGUCCAGACCCCUACGGGGGGCAGCAGUAGGGAUUCUUCCGCAAGGGGCGAAGGCCUGACGGAGCACCGCCGCGGGAGGGAGGAAGGUCUUGGGACGGAAAAACUCUUUUUUUGGGGAAAAACAUUGUUGUAAGUACCUUGGCACAUUUAGAGGGUCCCUAAAAAAAAACCCCCGGCAAACUACG